AAAAAAGCGUAAAACAGUCAGCUCUGUAAAACAGCGUACAUAGAGGAAAGACUUCGCUUAUUCAGUGGGAAAAAACGAAGCAAACCAUGAUUUCAUUAGGCGGUUUUGGAGUGGCAAAUUAUCGCUCUUCGGUUAUUCCUGGUUUACCCCAUUAGAGCAAUCCUUCCCCAGCUGGGAAACAGCCGAAAUAUGAGGAAACCUCCAUUCAGAAGACCCAUCCUGUUCAACAUGCAGCAGAUUUCAGCUUUAGGUUUGCAUUUUGAGCUUUAGGGCUGUUAUCAAUGUUCAGUUUUAGAGGCUGCUGUCAUUACGGAUUACUGUCCUUACAUUUUGAGGAAACACACUGAUGGAUAUAUCAGUUGUAGGCCUAUAUGAUUUUUAUUUUUUUUACAUGCAUUUGCACUGUUCAGUGGCUGUCAUUUAUAAUUAUUAACAUUUAUUUGAAGGUUCGAUGAAAAAAAAAAAGAUAUUUAUACUUAUGACUUGAUACCAUUAUCCCUCAUACCAAUAUGUUUUACCCAUUUGUCAGCAAUAUGUUUUAACAUUGAACAGUUCGAUAAUCCUUUUUACAUAAAUAUGUUUCUAAAGACA
rnacentral:lncRNA from 1 species